rnacentral:lncRNA from 10 species
AAAUCAUGCUGCUAUAAAGACACAUGCACACAUAUGUUUAUUGCGGCACUAUUCACAAUAACAAAGACUUGGAACCAACCCAAAUGUCCAAUAAUGAUAAAAUGGAUUAAGAAAAUGUGGCACAUAUACACCAUGGAAUACUAUGCAGCCAUAAAAAAGGAUGAGUUCAUGUCCUUUGUAGGGACAUGGAUGAAACUGGAAACCAUCAUUCUCAGGAAACUAUCGCCAGGACAAAGAAACCAAACACCGCAUGUUCUCACUCAUAGGUGGGAAUUGAACAAUGGAACACAGGGACACAGGAAGGGGAACA